CUGGGCGCAGCCUCCCAGCUCGGAGCGGAUGGCCGGGCCCCGGGUCUGCCGGGGCAGAAGGGCCACCUCCUGCAGGGAGACUCGCCUGAGCCACCCGCACAUGCCACCUAGAACACGUGCCUCUGCGAAUCCAGGAUGGCUGGGUUUUGAUGAGGAUGAACUCGGCACUUCCCCUUACUUUCAGAAGUGGAAAGUGCCUGGGCCUCUCAGAAAUACCCCCUGCAGAUCACCUGUGGACAUCACUUCCCCUGGUAACUGGUCCCAGGCGCUGGCAGUAGGGACUCCCACCUUUGGACUCAGUGAAGGAGCCUCAGAGAACGAUGUGGUUCUCCUGUGGAUCCUUGGUUCUGGAAAUGAAGUGCCUCAGGACUCAGUUUAUUUGUAGAAUGAAGCAUUCAACUAAACGAAGCUUCUACGGCCAGGGCGAGCAAGUCCAGCGCUAUUUUCUUUGAGAAAGCAGACACAACUGCAUCAUCCCUUUGUCUCUGAUGUUCCAAAUGUUUCUUUAGAGCCUUUUCUUGGAGGAUGGUCGGUGCCUACCACGUGAAAAUGUCUGGUGUUCUCGAGUGUGUAAGCAUCCAUCCGUGUGUGGGUUCUGCUUAGUAGAUUGCUUCCAUUAAAAGAUUUGCCUCAUGAGCUCUUAAGUCGUAAGCAUGCCGGUGUCUUCUGCUUCUAGUCAGUUGAUUUAAGUGAAUCUCAAUCAAGAUCCUCAAAUCUCGUUCAGUAAAACGAAUGGACCCACAAAGCUAGUAUCUGGCGUCACCUACAAGUUCGGAGCGGAUGUACGUCUGCACGCCCAUGCGUAUUAAUCUAACCUGUGGGAGGAGGAGGUCCGUGGUCCAGAGAGCCUGAUUUAACUCCGGUAAUUUCCCCCACGUAGCGUCUUGGUGUGAAGGGCUGCAGGAAACACACCAUGAUUUUUAUACUUUAGGAGGAAAGGUGGCUUUCACAAUGUGUCAGAAUCUUUCAGUGCAACGAACGGAGUCUGUGCACUCAGAAAACCUGUUUUGGAUUUCUGAUCCUUAGAAGGGGUUACUCUUGAAACACUGGAGAAACCGUGGCCUCUAGUAGGGCUUUAACAACCGAAGUCUGAAAGUUCUGCAGCAGACUGUGGGGUACGUCCUGGCUCCCAGGGGACUGGUCGCCCCAGGGAAGACCAUAAGCAUCGCCUGGGACGCUGGGGGGCCGGCGCUAGGACCACCCCUCUGACGCUGCUGCUGGCUUGGGGGCUGUCUCCAGACCUCCUGUGAUUAUCUUCUCAGACUGUGAUCCCGAGUCUCGGUCACCAGAAACCGUUGGAAACAUCAAGAAGCCAUGAAUGAGGACUGGCUCAAUCACGGACUGGCUGCCUCAUUCCCUCCAAUUCUGCUUGCAGACCCGAGAAUGUGUUUCCGUUCCUACUGCAUUAUAAAGAAGCAGGAGAAAACUAGUUUCCUGUCCUGCACACGUUAAUGUUCUUUAGGUCGUUUUCAAGGGUGAUGCCGUGUCUUCAUUAAGCUACUGGCAGAGAGACUGACCAAAAGCACCUUGGUUUACAUCUCAGUAGAUGAAAACGUGCCUGCAGGUGGAGAUUUGUGUGGGCCGACCACGUGCGGACUCACCGCUUAUGUCACCUGUCCCCCAAAGACCCAGGAGCGCCCAGACUUCCCUUCGUCCUCAAGUUUGCCACUUGGUAAGGCUGUGUCUUCGACACCAUCACCCAGAGAAAGAUUUCUUGUACCCGCCUGCACUCUCCUGCAGCAUCACAGACCCAUCAUUAUGACCUGGCAUGUGCCAGCCAGCACUCACUGGACGAUGACACCCCUGUGCCCUGCCUCACGGCCCACGGGCCCUUGGGGACAGAGAGCAGGCAGUGCCGACCGAGGAUAAGACAGACAAGGUCUAUGUGGUGAAGUGCUGCUUUCCUUAAGAGAAAGGAAGAAACAGAAAUGAAAGUCGCUCGUGUGUUCAGAGGUCCCCUGAGAAGCCAGGACCAGAAUACCUACAGCCACAUGUGAGUCAGAUGCACCCCUACAGACACAGUGUCAGCUGCCCAGUGACCCAGUCUUCCCUCCCCACAAGGGCUCCACCGAGUGACCCAUGUCGGGACUUCUCAGGGACCGAGGGGUCCAUGAUCCCUCUGAUGAGGCAGGACGGCGCCUGGUCCCCGGCCAUUCACAACAUGGAGACACAGCCACGGCCCCCACUCUGCACAUCUUCUGCAGAUCCCGACAUCCCGCCGUCCCUUUGGAUUCUGCAGCCCUGCCUCAGCCCCUCCGGCACUGCCCUCCCGUGCUCCGGGUCCCCAAAGCUUCCAUGCAAAGUUCUGUGGCUUCCAUGGGACGUUCCCUGGGGCCACACAGCCCCGGCACCUUGUCCAUGCACAGGCACGGUGCCCUGCGGGAGCCCUAGCAACGCCCCACGACGCACGCCUUUCGUCCGGUUUCUCUUACACAACUGAC